rnacentral:lncRNA from 1 species
GCUUCCAGUGCUUUGACAAAACCUCAGAUGCGUGGCCUUCUGGCCAACGUCUGCAAUUUCCCGUACUGAGCAUUCACUGUCUCUCUGGGGGCUGCAGCUCUCUGUAAGUCUGCUGUGGCUGAACCAAGAAAGAGUCAUUCGCAGAUUUCUACAGCAAUUAGGAUUCCGUGAAGGAUUUUGAGGAGAUGAGGAAGGCUGGUAUCUUUCAGAGUGCAA